ACAUGCAAGUCGAGGGGCAGCAUCAUUAAAGCUUGCUUUGAUGGAUGGCGACCGGCGCACGGGUGAGUAACACGUAUCCAACCUGCCGACAACACUGGGAUAGCCUUUCGAAAGAAAGAUUAAUACCGGAUGGCAUAGUCUUCCCGCAUGGGAUGACUAUUAAAGAAUUUCGGUUGUCGAUGGGGAUGCGUUCCAUUAGGCAGUUGGCGGGGUAACGGCCCACCAAACCAACGAUGGAUAGGGGUUCUGAGAGGAAGGUCCCCCACAUUGGAACUGAGACACGGUCCAAACUCCUACGGGAGGCAGCAGUGAGGAAUAUUGGUCAAUGGACGAGAGUCUGAACCAGCCAAGUAGCGUGAAGGAUGACUGCCCUAUGGGUUGUAAACUUCUUUUAUACGGGAAUAAAGUGAGCCACGUGUGGCUUUUUGUAUGUACCGUAUGAAUAAGGAUCGGCUAACUCCGUGCCAGCAGCCGCGGUAAUACGGAGGAUCCGAGCGUUAUCCGGAUUUAUUGGGUUUAAAGGGAGCGUAGGCGGGUUGUUAAGUCAGUUGUGAAAGUUUGCGGCUCAACCGUAAAAUUGCAGUUGAUACUGGCGACCUUGAGUGCAACAGAGGUAGGCGGAAUUCGUGGUGUAGCGGUGAAAUGCUUAGAUAUCACGAAGAACUCCGAUUGCGAAGGCAGCUUACUGGAUUGUAACUGACGCUGAUGCUCGAAAGUGUGGGUAUCAAACAGGAUUAGAUACCCUGGUAGUCCACACAGUAAACGAUGAAUACUCGCUGUUGGCGAUAUACGGUCAGCGGCCAAGCGAAAGCAUUAAGUAUUCCACCUGGGGAGUACGCCGGCAACGGUGAAACUCAAAGGAAUUGACGGGGGCCCGCACAAGCGGAGGAACAUGUGGUUUAAUUCGAUGAUACGCGAGGAACCUUACCCGGGCUUAAAUUGCAACUGACUGAACCGGAAACGG
rnacentral:rRNA from 1 species